GAUGAACGCUGGCGGCGUGCCUAAUACAUGCAAGUCGAGCGAACAGACGAUGAGCUUGCUUCCCUGACGUUAGCCGCGGACGGGUGAGUAACACGUUGAUAACCUACCUACAAGCCUGGGAUCACUUCGGGAAACCGGAACUAAUUCCCGAAAAUAUCUUGAACCGCAUGGUUCCAUAGUGAAAGACGGUUUUGCUGUCUCUUAUAGAUGGAACCGGGCCGCAUUAGCUAGUUGGUAAGGUAACGGCUUACCAAGGCGAUGAUGCGUAGCCAACCUGAGAGGUGGUUCGGCCACACGGGAACGGGGACACGCUCCAGACUCCUACGGGAGGCAGCAGUAGGGAAUCUUCCGCAAUGGGCGAAGGCCUGACGGAGCAACGCCGCGGGAGUGAUGAAGGUCUUCGGAUCGUAAGACUCUGUGAUUAGGGAAGAACAAAUGUGUAAGUAGCUAUGCACGUCUUGACGGUACCUAAUCAGAAAGCCACGGCUAACUACGUG
rnacentral:rRNA from 1 species